UGGGGAAUUUUGGACAAUGGGGGAAACCCUGAUCCAGCCAUCCCGCGUGUGCGAUGAAGGCCUUCGGGUUGUAAAGCACUUUUGGCAGGAAAGAAACGUCAUGGGUUAAUACCCCGUGAAACUGCCGGUACCUGCAGAAUAAGCACCGGCUAACUACGUGCCAGCAGCCGCGGUAAUACGUAGGGUGCAAGCGUUAAUCGGAAUUACUGGGCGUAAAGCGUGCGCAGGCGGUUCGGAAAGAAAGAUGUGAAAUCCCAGAGCUCAACUUUGGAACUGCAUUUUUAACUACCGGGCUAGAGUGUGGCAGAGGGAGGUGGAAUUCCGCGUGUAGCAGUGAAAUGCGUAGAUAUGCGGAGGAACACCGAUGGCGAAGGCAGCCUCCUGGGAUAACACUGACGCUCAUGCACGAAAGCGUGGGGAGCAAACAGG
rnacentral:rRNA from 1 species